CCAAAGGCUCUUUUCAGAGCCACUUAAGUUGUCUGUAAUUGAGCUGU
rfam:Tupaia chinensis contig173138, whole genome shotgun sequence.